AGUGAACGCUGGCGGCAGGCCUAACACAUGCAAGUCGAACGGCAGCACAGUAAGAUCUUUCUCUUACGGUUGGCGAGUGGCGGACGGGUGACGAAUACAUCGGAAUCUACUUUUUCUGGGGGGAUAACGUAAGGAAAGUUACGCUACUACCUCAUACGACCUACCGGUGAAAUCAAUGGAUCUUCGCACCUUUGGCGAUUGAAUUAGCUGGUGCCGGAUUAGCUUGUUGGCUGGGUAAAGGCCCACCAAGGCGACGAUGCGUAGCCGGACUGAGAGGAGGAUCGGCCACACUGGAACUGAGACACGGUCCAGACUCCUACGGGAGGCAGCAGUAGGGAAUGUUGGGCAAUGGGCGAAAGCCUGACAGAGCAAUGCCGCGUGGGUGAAGAAGGCCUUCGGGUUGUAAAGCCCUGUUAUUGGGAAAGAAAAGAUGUGGAAGUAAAUAUGGAUGUCCUGACGGUACCUAAUGAAAAAGCCACGGCUAACUACGUG
rnacentral:rRNA from 1 species